rnacentral:rRNA from 1 species
CUGCGAUAAGCGCCGGUAAGGUGAUAUGAACCGUUAUAACCGGCGAUACCCGAAUGGGGAAACCCAGUGUGACUCGUCACACUAUCAUUAACUGAAUCCAUAGGUUAAUGAGGCGAACCGGGGGAACUGAAACAUCUAAGUACCCCGAGGAAAAGAAAUCAACCGAGAUUCCCCCAGUAGCGGCGAGCGAACGGGGAGGAGCCCAGAGCCUGAAUCAGCAUGUGUGUUAGUGGAAGCGUCUGGAAAGGCGCGCGAUACAGGGUGACAGCCCCGUACACAAAAGCGCAUGUGCUGUGAGCUCGAUGAGUAGGGCGGGACACGUGGUAUCCUGUCUGAAUAUGGGGGGACCAUCCUCCAAGGCUAAAUACUCCUGACUGACCGAUAGUGAACCAGUACCGUGAGGGAAAGGCGAAAAGAACCCCGGCGAGGGGAGUGAAAAAGAACCUGAAACCGUGUACGUACAAGCAGUGGGAGCACAGGUUUACCUGUGUGACUGCGUACCUUUUGUAUAAUGGGUCAGCGACUUAUAUUCUGUAGCAAGGUUAACCGAAUAGGGGAGCCGGAGGGAAACCGAGUCUUAAUUGGGCGUUAAGUUGCAGGGUAUAGACCCGAAACCCGGUGAUCUAGCCAUGGGCAGGUUGAAGGUUGGGUAACACUAACUGGAGGACCGAACCGACUAAUGUUGAAAAAUUAGCGGAUGACCUGUGGCUGGGGGUGAAAGGCCAAUCAAACCGGGAGAUAGCUGGUUCUCCCCGAAAGCUAUUUAGGUAGCGCCUCGUGAAUUCAUCUCCGGGGGUAGAGCACUGUUUCGGCUAGGGGGCCAUCCCGGCUUACCAACCCGAUGCAAACUGCGAAUACCGGAGAAUGUUAUCACGGGAGACACACGGCGGGUGCUAACGUCCGUCGUGAAGAGGGAAACAACCCAGACCGCCAGCUAAGGUCCCAAAGUCAUGGUUAAGUGGGAAACGAUGUGGGAAGGCCCAGACAGCCAGGAUGUUGGCUUAGAAGCAGCCAUCAUUUAAAGAAAGCGUAAUAGCUCACUGGUCGAGUCGGCCUGCGCGGAAGAUGUAACGGGGCUAAACCAUGCACCGAAGCUGCGGCAGCGACACUGUGUGUUGUUGGGUAGGGGAGCGUUCUGUAAGCCUGCGAAGGUGGCCUGUGAGGGUUGCUGGAGGUAUCAGAAGUGCGAAUGCUGACAUAAGUAACGAUAAAGCGGGUGAAAAGCCCGCUCGCCGGAAGACCAAGGGUUCCUGUCCAACGUUAAUCGGGGCAGGGUGAGUCGACCCCUAAGGCGAGGCCGAAAGGCGUAGUCGAUGGGAAACGGGUUAAUAUUCCCGUACUUGGUGUUACUGCGAAGGGGGGACGGAGAAGGCUAUGUUGGCCGGGCGACGGUUGUCCCGGUUUAAGCGUGUAGGUGUGUGUUCCAGGUAAAUCCGGUUCACUUUAACACUGAGGCGUGACGACGAGGCACUACGGUGCUGAAGCAACAAAUGCCCUGCUUCCAGGAAAAGCCUCUAAGCAUCAGGUAACAUCAAAUCGUACCCCAAACCGACACAGGUGGUCAGGUAGAGAAUACCAAGGCGCUUGAGAGAACUCGGGUGAAGGAACUAGGCAAAAUGGUGCCGUAACUUCGGGAGAAGGCACGCUGACACGUAGGUGAAGUGAUUUACUCAUGGAGCUGAAGUCAGUCGAAGAUACCAGCUGGCUGCAACUGUUUAUUAAAAACACAGCACUGUGCAAACACGAAAGUGGACGUAUACGGUGUGACGCCUGCCCGGUGCCGGAAGGUUAAUUGAUGGGGUCAGCGCAAGCGAAGCUCCUGAUCGAAGCCCCGGUAAACGGCGGCCGUAACUAUAACGGUCCUAAGGUAGCGAAAUUCCUUGUCGGGUAAGUUCCGACCUGCACGAAUGGCGUAAUGAUGGCCAGGCUGUCUCCACCCGAGACUCAGUGAAAUUGAACUCGCUGUGAAGAUGCAGUGUACCCGCGGCAAGACGGAAAGACCCCGUGAACCUUUACUAUAGCUUGACACUGAACAUUGAGCCUUGAUGUGUAGGAUAGGUGGGAGGCUUUGAAGUGUGGACGCCAGUCUGCAUGGAGCCGACCUUGAAAUACCACCCUUUAAUGUUUGAUGUUCUAACGUGGACCCGUUACCCGGGUUGCGGACAGUGUCUGGUGGGUAGUUUGACUGGGGCGGUCUCCUCCUAAAGAGUAACGGAGGAGCACGAAGGUUGGCUAAUCCUGGUCGGACAUCAGGAGGUUAGUGCAAUGGCAUAAGCCAGCUUGACUGCGAGCGUGACGGCGCGAGCAGGUGCGAAAGCAGGUCAUAGUGAUCCGGUGGUUCUGAAUGGAAGGGCCAUCGCUCAACGGAUAAAAGGUACUCCGGGGAUAACAGGCUGAUACCGCCCAAGAGUUCAUAUCGACGGCGGUGUUUGGCACCUCGAUGUCGGCUCAUCACAUCCUGGGGCUGAAGUAGGUCCCAAGGGUAUGGCUGUUCGCCAUUUAAAGUGGUACGCGAGCUGGGUUUAGAACGUCGUGAGACAGUUCGGUCCCUAUCUGCCGUGGGCGCUGGAGAACUGAGGGGGGCUGCUCCUAGUACGAGAGGACCGGAGUGGACGCAUCACUGGUGUUCGGGUUGUCAUGCCAAUGGCACUGCCCGGUAGCUAAAUGCGGAAGAGAUAAGUGCUGAAAGCAUCUAAGCACGAAACUUGCCCCGAG